CUCAGCACAAGUUAGAAUGUGGGCAACUCGGCAGUUGUUGCGCAGGCUCUCUGGUGUCUCUAGAUAACCUCGGGCCGAUUGCAUGUCCCCGUGACGGCGACAACGCAUUCGGAUGUCUGCCCUAUCAACUUUCUAUGGUACUUUCUGCACCUACCAUGGGUAAUGGGAAUCAGGGUUCGAGUCCAGAGAGGGAGCCUGAGAAACAGCUACCACAUCCAAAGAAGGCAGCAGGCGCACAAAUUACCCACUCCCGACGCGAGGAGGUAGUGACG